rfam:Aedes aegypti strain Liverpool supercont1.125 genomic scaffold, whole genome shotgun sequence.
AGUUCGGUAGCUUAGUUGGUAAAGCACUCAUCUAGCGUAUAAGAGUCCUGGCUUUGAAUCCCUGCCGAUCAC